rnacentral:lncRNA from 1 species
GGAAGAACCAAGAUGAGUGCUAAGGAGAAGUUGGGGGAGAGGCUUUGCUUUUGAUUGAGAGGACAGUUUGAAUGUCAAGAAAGAGGCCAACUGCAAAGAUCUAGGGGCAGGGAAUUCAGGCACAGAGAUAGGUAACUGUACAGGGCCUACGGUGGACAGGAAAAGGCCAGUGUGAUUGGAUCACAGUGUGGGAGGGGGAUGGCUUUUGGAGGGAGGUGCAUUUGAAGUUGUAGUAGGAAAGAGGGGCCAGACCAUUUAUCACUAUUUACUGAUAUCUCUCCAUUUUCCUCUCUAGCUCCACCCUCCACCCUGUUCUAUGGCCCUGGGCGUGACUUGCUCUUGCCCCUUGCCUUCUGUUUGGAUCCUGCCAAUGAGGACUCCUAGCAGGAGAUGGGGGCUCUCAUAUUUAACUGAAAGGCUCAGCUCCACGCAGCGUUUCUGUCUCCAGCCCACACAGCACGAUGAGAUAAAGACUAGAGGCUGCUCACUGCUGAGAGUGGACCAUCCAGCUCAUUUGGUCACAUAAUUUCCAGCCAGCCACCUUAUGGGCAAGAUUUUGGCUCACCUGUAAGCUAUUAGCUGGUAAGUGCUAACAUAAUCUACCUCCCAGCUGGUGAGUUGUCAAGGGAUAGAAAGAGCUAUGGAUAGAAGAGCUAAAAUCUGCUUGAAGUCACAGCACUGUUUGGGUCAUCUUUGCUGCAGCGCAACCUCUCUGAGCUUCAGUUACCUCACCUAGGUAAUGAUAAUAAUAUCUUCCUAUCUUGUAGACUACUGAGCAGUUUUUCAAACAUCAAUUAUUGCAUUGUAAAAACCUCAGUGACAGGAGUAUAUGGAAUCCUCAGGAUUGAUCACAGUGUUCUGCUUGAUGUUUGCACCUGGGAAAAUGCUUGUGGUUGAUUUUAACCACUCUGAAACAACAGCUCAGGGAAGGACAGCGCAGAAGAGGGAAAAUCUUGAUAGCUCCUUGCCAUUAACCACUUGCUUUCACUACCUAUUGAAAUCACCAGCUUUAAUCGCUUCCUGCAGCAAAUUCCUGGAGAGAAGAGACUAAAAAAAGUGAGAAAACGUGUCUAGAAGUGCCAUCUUGGAUGAUUUUAGGUUAUUAAAUAACAGCCUUACAGAGGGGUUGACUGUCAUGAUUUUAUUGCCGAUUCCAUCCUUGGUUAUAUUUCCCGAAGUUUUAAAAUCA